ACUCCUGCGGGAGGCAGCAGUGGGGAAUUUUGGACAAUGGGCGAAAGCCUGAUCCAGCCAUGCCGCGUGCAGGAUGAAGGCCUUCGGGUUGUAAACUGCUUUUGUACGGAACGAAACGGCCUUUUCUAAUAAAGAGGGCUAAUGACGGUACCGUAAGAAUAAGCACCGGCUAACUACGUACCAGCAGCCGCGGUAAUACGUAGGGUGCAAGCGUUAAUCGGAAUUACUGGGCGUAAAGCGUGCGCAGGCGGUUAUGUAAGACAGUUGUGAAAUCCCCGGGCUCAACCUGGGAACUGCAUCUGUGACUGCAUAGCUAGAGUACGGUAGAGGGGGAUGGAAUUCCGCGUGUAGCAGUGAAAUGCGUAGAUAUGCGGAGGAACACCGAUGGCGAAGGCAAUCCCCUGGACCUGUACUGACGCUCAUGCACGAAAGCGUGGGGAGCAAACAGGAUUAGAUACCCUAGUAGUCCCA
rnacentral:rRNA from 1 species